rnacentral:sRNA from 1 species
CAGAAUACUGCCGAAGACAGUAGGUACCCUAGUGGUGUAAGCGUGUCGCCUACCGAGGAAUAUAAAUUUGAUUAUUUAUACCCUUCUGUCUUUGGAUAGAAGGGUUUUUCUUUUA